CCUACGGGGGGCAGCAGUGGGGAAUAUUGCACAAUGGGGGAAACCCUGAUGCAGCGACGCCGCGUGAGUGAAGAAGUAUUUCGGUAUGUAAAGCUCUAUCAGCAGGGGAGAAAAUGACGGUACCUGACUAAGAAGCCCCGGCUAACUACGUGCCAGCAGCCGCGGAAAUACGUAGGGGGCAAGCGUUAUCCGGAUUUACUGGGUGUAAAGGGAGCGUAGACGGCCAGACAAGGCAGAAGGGAAAGCGCAGGGCUCAACCCUGGGACUGCUUUUGAAAAUGCCGGGCUGGAGUGGAGGAGAGGUAAGCGGAAUGCGUGGUGUAGCGGUGAAAUGCGUAGAUAUUAGGAGGAACACCGGUGGCGAAGGCGGCUUACUGGCCUGUUACUGACGUUGAGGCUCGAAAGCGUGGGGAGCGAACAGGAUUAGAUACCCCGGUAGUC
rnacentral:rRNA from 1 species